GGAAUAUUGGACAAUGGGCGCAAGCCUGAUCCAGCCAUGCCGCGUGCAGGAUGACGGUCCUAUGGAUUGUAAACUGCUUUUAUACGAGAAGAAACAUCCCGACGUGUCGGGACUUGACGGUAUCGUAAGAAUAAGGAUCGGCUAACUCCGUGCCAGCAGCCGCGGUAAUACGGAGGAUCCAAGCGUUAUCCGGAAUCAUUGGGUUUAAAGGGUCCGUAGGCGGUUUAAUAAGUCAGUGGUGAAAGCCCAUCGCUCAACGGUGGAACGGCCAUUGAUACUGUUAGACUUGAAUUAUUAGGAAGUAACUAGAAUAUGUAGUGUAGCGGUGAAAUGCUUAGAGAUUACAUGGAAUACCAAUUGCGAAGGCAGGUUACUACUAAUUGAUUGACGCUGAUGGACGAAAGCGUGGGUAGCGAACAGGAUUAGAUACCCGGG
rnacentral:rRNA from 1 species